rnacentral:lncRNA from 1 species
GCCAAUUGGACUUUUAAAAUUAAUUUCUAAUUGUCAUUUAGUCAAGUUAAUUGCUAGGAUUAAAUUAGGCUCGUUGGUUUCUUUGGUUUUUAAUUAAUUUAGUUAAUAGGUUGAGUUAGUCUUGCAUUUAAAUAUUUUUAAUUGUGUUUGUUAAUCAGUUUGUAACAGUGUUUGAUGUUUGAAUGUUGUCUAAGGCUUUUAAUAGUGUUAGUUUAAUUACCAUGCUAGCUUAAAUUAGUUUGUUUGCAUAUGUGUCUUUAUUGAGUUCUUUGGUUUUCGCAAACCGUUUUCACAACCCCCCUUCUGUG